rnacentral:rRNA from 1 species
GAUGAACGCUGGCGGCGUGCCUAAUACAUGCAAGUCGAGCGAACAGACGAGGAGCUUGCUCCUCUGACGUUAGCGGCGGACGGGUGAGUAACACGUGGAUAACCUACCUAUAAGACUGGGAUAACUUCGGGAAACCGGAGCUAAUACCGGAUAAUAUAUUGAACCGCAUGGUUCAAUAGUGAAAGACGGUUUUGCUGUCACUUAUAGAUGGAUCCGCGCCGCAUUAGCUAGUUGGUAAGGUAACGGCUUACCAAGGCAACGAUGCGUAGCCGACCUGAGAGGGUGAUCAGCCACACUGGAACUGAGACACGGUCCAGACUCCUACGGGAGGCAGCAGUAGGGAAUCUUCCGCAAUGGGCGAAAGCCUGACGGAGCAACGCCGCGUGAGUGAUGAAGGUCUUCGGAUCGUAAAACUCUGUUAUUAGGGAAGAACAAAUGUGUAAGUAACUAUGCACGUCUUGACGGUACCUAAUCAGAAGGCCACGGCUAACUACGUG